GGCCGUGUAGUGUAUGGUAUGCACGCCCGAUGGCUUCCAUGUCAAGUUGCUGCAGGUUCAGAGCCGUGCCUCUUGGUCAUGAUGACAGCCGCGGGAGGUGGCGGGUUCGAAUCUCGCCAUGGCUA